rnacentral:rRNA from 1 species
GGCAGGCUUACACAUGCAAGUCGAGCGGAGAGAGGUAGCUUGCUACUGAUCUUAGCGGCGGACGGGUGAGUAAUGCUUAGGAAUCUGCCUAUUAGUGGGGGACAACAUCUCGAAAGGGAUGCUAAUACCGCAUACGUCCUACGGGAGAAAGCAGGGGAUCUUCGGACCUUGCGCUAAUAGAUGAGCCUAAGUCGGAUUAGCUAGUUGGUGGGGUAAAGGCCUACCAAGGCGACGAUCUGUAGCGGGUCUGAGAGGAUGAUCCGCCACACUGGGACUGAGACACGGCCCAGACUCCUACGGGAGGCAGCAGUGGGGAAUAUUGGACAAUGGGGGGAACCCUGAUCCAGCCAUGCCGCGUGUGUGAAGAAGGCCUUAUGGUUGUAAAGCACUUUAAGCGAGGAGGAGGCUACUUUAGUUAAUACCUAGAGAUAGUGGACGUUACUCGCAGAAUAAGCACCGGCUAACUCUGUGCCAGCAGCCGCGGUAAUACAGAGGGUGCAAGCGUUAAUCGGAUUUACUGGGCGUAAAGCGCGCGUAGGCGGCUAAUUAAGUCAAAUGUGAAAUCCCCGAGCUUAACUUGGGAAUUGCAUUCGAUACUGGUUAGCUAGAGUGUGGGAGAGGAUGGUAGAAUUCCAGGUGUAGCGGUGAAAUGCGUAGAGAUCUGGAGGAAUACCGAUGGCGAAGGCAGCCAUCUGGCCUAACACUGACGCUGAGGUGCGAAAGCAUGGGGAGCAAACAGGAUUAGAUACCCUGGUAGUCCAUGCCGUAAACGAUGUCUACUAGCCGUUGGGGCCUUUGAGGCUUUAGUGGCGCAGCUAACGCGAUAAGUAGACCGCCUGGGGAGUACGGUCGCAAGACUAAAACUCAAAUGAAUUGACGGGGGCCCGCACAAGCGGUGGAGCAUGUGGUUUAAUUCGAUGCAACGCGAAGAACCUUACCUGGGCCUUGACAUAGUAAGAACUUUCCAGAGAUGGAUUGGUGCCUUCGGGAACUUACAUACAGGUGCUGCAUGGCUGUCGUCAGCUCGUGUCGUGAGA